GAUGAACGCUGGCGGCGUGCCUAAUACAUGCAAGUCGAGCGAACGGACGAGAAGCUUGCUUCUCUGAUGUUAGCGGCGGACGGGUGAGUAACACGUGGAUAACCUACCUAUAAGACUGGGAUAACUUCGGGAAACCGGAGCUAAUACCGGAUAAUAUUUUGAACCGCAUGGUUCAAAAGUGAAAGACGGUCUUGCUGUCACUUAUAGAUGGAUCCGCGCUGCAUUAGCUAGUUGGUAAGGUAACGGCUUACCAAGGCAACGAUGCAUAGCCGACCUGAGAGGGUGAUCGGCCACACUGUAACUGAGACACGGUCCAGACUCCUACGGGAGGCAGCAGUAGGGAAUCUUCCGCAAAGGGCGAAAGCCUGACGGAGCAACGCCGCGUGAGUGAUGAAGGUCUUCGGAUCGUAAAACUCUGUUAUUAGGGAAGAACAUAUGUGUAAGUAACUGUACACAUCUUGACGGUACCUAAUCAGAAAGCCACGGCUAACUACGUG
rnacentral:rRNA from 1 species